rnacentral:rRNA from 1 species
AGCGAACGCUGGCGGCAGGCCUAACACAUGCAAGUCGAACGAAGUCUUCGGACUUAGUGGCGGACGGGUGAGUAACACGUGGGAACGUACCUUUUGGUUAGGAACAACUCAGGGAAACUUGAGCUAAUACCGGAUGAGCCCUGAGGGGGAAAGAUUUAUCGCCGAAAGAGGGGCCUCCAUUAGAUUAGCUAGUUGGUGAGGUAAUGGCCCACCAAGGCAACGAUCUAUAGCUGGUCUGAGAGGAUGAUCAGCCACACUGGAACUGAGACACGGUCCAGACUCCUACGGGAGGCAGCAGUGGGGAAUAUUGGACGAUGGGCGAAAGCCUGAUCCAGCAAUACCGCGUGAAUGAUGAAGGCCUUCGGGUUGUAAAAUUCUUUUAGUGGGGAGGAUAAUGACGGUACCCACAGAAAAAGCACCGGCUAACUUCGUGCCAGCAGCCGCCGCUGUAA